UCAGAGGGGGCCCUGGGAGGUGCCUUCCCACCUCCACCUCCCCCGUUGAUCGAAGAACCAUUCCCCCCUGCUCCUCUGGAGGAGGACAUCUUCCCCUCCCCUCCACCUCCACUGGAGGAGGAGGGAGGACCUGAGGCCCCUACCCAGCUCCCACCGCAGGUGUCAUCUGGAUAUGUACCUCCACCAGUUGCUACUCCAUUUGUUCCCAAACCUAGUACCAAGCCUGCCCCUGUGGGCACAGCACCCUUACCUCCUUGGAAGGCCCCUUCUAGCUCUCAGCCACCACCUCAGCCGCAGGCCAAGCCUCAGGUCCAGCUCCAUGCCCAGCCUCAGGCCAAGCCCCAUGUCCAACCCCAGUCUGUGUCUUCCGCUAAUACACAGCCCCGAGGUCCCCUUUCUCAGGCUCCAACUCCAGCACCUAAGUUUGCUCCAGUGGCACCUAAAUUUACUCCCGUGGCUUCCAAAUUCAGCCCUGGUGCUCCAAGUGGACCUGGGCCACAGCCCAGUCAAAAAUCGGUGCCUCUGGAAGCUCCUUCUUCUGUGGGCACAGGCUCCCCCCAGCCCCCUAGCUUCACCUAUGCUCAGCAGAAGGAGAAGCCCCUAGUUCAAGAGAAGCAGCACCCACUGCCUCCACCAGCUCAAAACCAAAACCAGGUACGUUCUCCUGGAGGCCCAGGCCCCUUGACCCUGAAGGAGGUGGAAGAGUUGGAGCAGCUGACCCAGCAGCUGAUGCAGGACA
rnacentral:lncRNA from 1 species